CUCCUCCUCCUCCUCCUCUGGCUCUUCCCCCUCCCCAAACUCCCUCCCUCCGCCCGGUUCUGCGCGCAGCCGUGGGAUCUCGGAGGAGGACGGCCAUUAGGCCGCGUGUGACCAUGUAAGGUUUUUUAGCUGUGUCUGGAGGAGAGCUAGCUGUCAUAGUGCUCUAAGAACAAACCCUCAGGGCUGGGCAGUAGCACUUUGGGUUAAGAGCACAGAGUGCCAAGCACAAAAACUAAGGUUCCUGAUUAUUAAGCAGUCUGUUCGGCUUUACAUCUUAAUCUUUUCAGCCACCAAGUUGCACUUCCUAUUUCAGAUGCUACCAUGAAGCCAACAGGAUUUCUCUGGGCUGAAGACCUCACCAAUGUGUCCUGGAGCCUCACCUCCCUAGAGCCCUGACCUAGUAGGGAAAAACAGAAACAGGCUGGGAGUGUGGAUCAACCUGUCUAUGUCCAUGUCCAGUGGAGAAGCAAUUACAGAAGCCAGACCUUCCACCUUCUGCAACCCAUAAAAAACUUUGGUCCAUACUCCCAGAGGGGUAAAGAGUAGGGAAACUUCUAAUAGAGUGGAGGGGAUAUGGAACUCUGGUGGUGGGAAUUGAACUGUAUGGAACUAUAACCCUCUGAUCCC